rnacentral:rRNA from 1 species
CGGCGGACGGGUGAGUAACGCGUGGGUAACCUGCCUCAUACAGGGGGAUAACAGUUAGAAAUGACUGCUAAAACCGCAUAAGCGCACAUUGUCGAGUGACAGAGUGUGAAAAACUCCGGUGGUAUGAGAUGGACCCGCGUCUGAUUAGCUAGUUGGUGAGGUAACGGCCCACCAAGGCGACGAUCAGUAGCCGGCCUGAGAGGGCGACCGGCCACAUUGGGACUGAGACACGGCCCAAACUCCUACGGAAGGCAGCAG